UGGGGAAUCGUUCCGCAAUGGACGAAAGUCUGACGGAGCAACGCCGCGUGAGUGAAGAAGGUUUUCGGAUCGUAAAACUCUGUCUUUUGGGGCGAACGUGAGUAUGGUGAACAAUCAUAGUCAGUGACGGUACCAAAGGAGGAAGCCACGGCUAACUACGUGCCAGCAGCCGCGGUAAUACGUAGGUGGCAAGCGUUGUCCGGAAUUAUUGGGCGUAAAGAGCGCGUAGGCGGGAUAGUCAGUCUGUUGUAAAAGUGCGGGGCUCAACCCCGUGAUCGCAAUGGAAACAGCUAUUCUUGAGUGCAGGAGAGGAAAGUGGAAUUCCCAGUGUAGCGGUGAAAUGCGUAGAUAUUGGGAGGAACACCAGUGGCGAAGGCGACUUUCUGGACUGUGUCUGACGCUGAGGCGCGAAAGCCAGGGGAGCGAACGGGAUUAGAUACCCCGGUAGUCCUGGCCGUAAACGAUGGGUACUAGGUGUGGGAGGUAUCGACCCCCUUCCGUGCCGGAGUUAACGCAAUAAGUACCCCGCCUGGGGAGUACGGUCGCAAGACUGAAACUCAAAGGAAUUGAC
rnacentral:rRNA from 1 species